rnacentral:rRNA from 1 species
CCUACGGGGGGCAGCAGUGGGGGAUAUUGCACAAUGGGGGAAACCCUGAUGCAGCGACGCCGCGUGGGUGAAGAAGCGCCUCGGCGCGUAAAGCCCUUUUAGCAGGGAAGAAAAUGACGGUACCUGAAGAAGAAGCCCCGGCUAACUACGUGCCAGCAGCCGCGGUAAUUCGUAGGGGGCAAGCGUUAUCCGGAUUUACUGGGGGUAAAGGGGGCGCAGACGGCGAUGCAAGCCAGGAGUGAAAGCCCGGGGCCCAACCCCGGGACUGCUCUUGAAACUGCGUGGCUAGAGUGCAGUAGCGGCAGGCGGAAUGCAUGGUGUAGCGGUGAAAUGCGUAGAUAUCAGGCGGAACACCGGUGGCGAAGGCGGCCUGCUGGGCUGCAACUGACGUUGAGGCACGAAAGCGUGGGGAGCAAACAGGAUUAGAUACCCCUGUAGUC